AAUAUCUAAGUAUAAAUACUUAUAAAAAGAAGAAAAAAGGAUUGAUUUGCAGCAAUAGAUGUCUUUCACAUACAACUAGAAAAAAGUAAUUUCCUUUUUGAAUGGCAGUUCCAAAAAAACGUACUUCAAUGUCAAAAAAGCGUAUUCUUAAAAAUAUUUGGAAGAAAAAGACUUAUUUUUCCAUAGUACAAUCUUAUUCUUUAGUAAAAUCAAGAUCAUUUUCGAGCGGAGAUCGGAAGAG